AUUGCUCGUCCCUCUCUGUGCUCUGAAGUUCACUCUGCUGAGCUACGUGGGUGCAGUCAUCUGUGACUCUAGAAGGAUAAUCUUUUGAUGUGGAAAUCUUGGUGCUGUUAAAGUAUCAGUAUUUUUGCAAGCGGUGCCAUAACCAUGAUUUUUCUGCAUGUGAAGUCUGAUUCCGGCAUGAAUCACAGCUCUUUGAGAUCCACCUCUUUCAGGAGGUCUGCACAGCUAUCUGUGAACUAGAGCAUCCUAUAAAGAGCUGAGACAUUGAUCCAAGGAAGCAGUCAGGUACAUGUGUGAUUCUUUCUCCGUGGAGCUCUCAAAAUCAAUAAAGCUUUUUUGGAA